rnacentral:rRNA from 1 species
GUGCCAGCAGCCGCGGUAAUACAUAGGCUCCAAGCGUUGUUCGGAAUUACUGGGCGUAAAGCGAGUGUAGGCUGUCCGCCAAGUCGAUUGUGAAAUCUCCCGGCUUAACUGGGAGGGUGCGGUCGAAACUGGCGGACUAGAGUUCGGGAGAGGAGAGUGGAAUUCCUGGUGUAGCGGUGAAAUGCGUAGAUAUCAGGAGGAACACCGGCGGUGAAGACGGCUCUCUGGACCGAUACUGACGCUGAGACUCGAAAGCGUGGGGAGCAAACAGGAUUAGAAACCCUGGUAGUCC